rnacentral:rRNA from 1 species
UACCGGCAGCUCGAGUGGUAGCCGCGAUUAUUGGGCCUAAAACGUUCGUAGCCGGAUAAGUAAGUCUUUGGUUAAAUCCUGCGACUUAACCGUGGGAAAUCUAGAGAUACUGCUUGUCUUGAGACCGGGAGAGGUUGGAGGUACUCCCAGGGUAGGGGUGAAAUCCUGUAAUCCUGGGGGGACCACCUGUGGCGAAGGCGUCCAACUGGAACGGGUCUGACGGUGAGGGACGAAACCUAGGGGAGCGAGCCGGAUUAGAUACCCGGGUAGUCCUAGGCGUAAAUGAUGCGAGUUAAGUGUGGGGGCAUCUACGAGAUGGCCCUGUGCUGUAGGGUAGCCGUUAAACUCGCUGCCUGGGGAGUACGGUCGCAAGGCUGAAACUUAAAUGAAUUGACGG